rnacentral:rRNA from 1 species
UACGUAGGGUGCGAGCGUUAAUCGGAAUUACUGGGCGUAAAGCGUGCGCAGGCGGUUUUGUAAGCCAGAUGUGAAAUCCCCCGGGCUUAACCUGGGAAUGGCAUUUGGGACUGCAAGGCUGGAGUUUGGCAGAGGAGACUGGAAUUCCUGGUGUAGCAGUGAAAUGCGUAGAUAUCUGGAGGAACACCGGUGGCGAAGGCGGCAUCCUGGACCGGCAUUGACGCUGAGGCGCGAAAGCUAGGGGAGCAAACGGG